rnacentral:lncRNA from 1 species
UAAACUCUAGCUCAAAGUUAAUGCAUAAUCUUCUGUCAAACAUGUGAAAUGGCUGACGAUUGAAGGAAAAUGGAAAGGAGAAGAAGGCUUCAUCCUCAACAGGAUGCUGAAAAACAUAUUCAAUUGAAGACUGACAAGGCUGGUCUUACAGAGCAUUUCAUCAACCCCUAUAAAGGUCGAGGUGUGCUUGCUACCAAGGAAUUCAACCAAGGAGACUUCAUGCUUGAAUAUCGGGGUAAACUUUUCAAACAGGAUCAUCAUACAAACUACAACUACAAUGAUACAGAAGCAGUGUUCCUGUUUGAUUUCAAAUGGAAUGGGAAAUGUUGGUGGUAAGUAGUAAUACAUAUGCCCUUGUUUGUAGAUGAUAGAAUUGCAAUAGUUAUGAGAUAAGCUUUAAAUGGCCCAC